rnacentral:tRNA from 1 species
CGCCCAUCGUCUAGCGGUUAGGACGCUGCCCUUUCACGGCGGAAACAGGGGUUCGAUUCCCCUUGGGCGUACCAU